rnacentral:rRNA from 1 species
GGCCGGUAUCGGGAUUACUGGGCGUAAGGGUGCGCAGGCGGCCUCGCAUGUCAGGCGUGAAAUCCCCGGGCUUAACUUGGGAAUGGCGCUUGAAACUACGAGGCUGGAGUGUGGCAGAGGGAGGUGGAAUUCCACGUGUAGCGGUGAAAUGCGUAGAGAUGUGGAGGAACACCGAUGGCGAAGGCAGCCUCCUGGGCCAACACUGACGCUCAUGCACGAAAGCGUGGGGAGCAAACAGGAUUAGAUACCCUGGUAGUCCACGCCCUAAACGAUGACGACUAGUUGUUGGGGGAGUU